rnacentral:rRNA from 1 species
UACGGGGGGGGCAAGCGUUGUUCGGAAUUACUGGGCGUAAAGGCUCGUAGGCGGCCAACUAAGUCAGACGUGAAAUCCCUCGGCUUAACCGGGGAACUGCAUCUGAUACUGGAUGGCUUGAGUUCGGGAGAGGGAUGCGGAAUUCCAGGUGUAGCGGUGAAAUGCGUAGAUAUCUGGAGGAACACCGGUGGCGAAGGCGGCAUCCUGGACCGGCACUGACGCUGAGGAGCGAAAGCCAGGGAGCCAAAGCGGG